rnacentral:lncRNA from 1 species
CUCUGGCAUGACGUGACACUUCCUACGGCUCCCAUGGGCUCUCAGAAGGCGGGAAAAAGCUGAACGAUGUAAUUCCAUCCCCAGGCUGAAACACAUUAGCUCGUUUGGCAAGUGCUCUAUCAGAGGGCCAUUAGACUGAGGCUCGUGCAUGAGGGGAUAGCAUGCUUUUACUUUCACUCUCUUUGUAAUAAAAAACGACUUCCCGGUCGGAAUAUUAUCGCUUUUUUACGAGAAAAAUGGCAUAAAAAUGUAUUUUAAACAGCGGUUGACAUGCUUCGAAGUACGGUAAUGGAAUAUUUAGAAUUUUUUGGUCACGAAAUGCGCCAUGCUCGUCACCCUUAUUUACCCUUUCGGAUAGUGUCUUGAACGCACGAACACAACGCCGCUAUUUGGAUAUAACAAUGGAUUAUUUGGGACCAAACCAACAUUUGUUAUUGAAGUAGAAGUCCUGGGAGUGCAUUCUGACGAAGAACAGCAAAGAGUUAUAUACCCUCAUCACCCACAGCCAAUGAAGUCCAUUCAGCCAGCCUUCAGUCAGGACUCUGGGAGCCCGCCUGGACCAGUGAUCUGGAAUGGCCUCCUCAGCCUCCUAUGGAGACCUGGAGAACAAGAGACAUGGAGGCAGAGAGACCCCAAGUCUCCCGGCUCCUACGUCCUGAACCCCUACUGCUCCUGCUGCCCCCUAGCAUCCUCGUCUUUACUGAGACCUCCCCUGUAGACACUGGACUGCACACAGGUACUACUGCUCCUGCUGCCCCCUAGCAUCCUCGUCUUUACUGAGACCUCCCCUGUAGACACUGGACUGCACACAGGCACCUCCGGCUUCCAACACGACGUACAAGAUGUGAGCUCUCUCCAGGUCUACAGGCACAUUACUGAUCCCAGUAGCUCCUUACAUCUUGAAAUAUUGAAUGUGUUUCCCGAUAUACAUAAUAAUGAAGUGGUAAAGAAAAAAGCUCCCUUCUGUCCCUUUACUCCACUUCUCCCCCUUUCUUUUAACUCCUAUAAGCGCCAUUGCUCCCUUUAUCUAUCGUUCUCAGCCUUCAUGUUUGCUGAUACUGUAGCAUUCAC